rnacentral:rRNA from 1 species
UACAGAGGUCUCAAGCGUUGUUCGGAUUCAUUGGGCGUAAAGGGUGCGUAGGUGGCGCUGUAAGUCGGGUGUGAAAUUUCGGAGCUUAACUCCGAAACUGCAUUCGAUACUGCGGUGCUUGAGGACUGGAGAGGAGACUGGAAUUCAUGGUGUAGCAGUGAAAUGCGUAGAGAUCAUGAGGAAGACCAGUGGCGAAGGCGGGUCUCUGGACAGUGCCUGACACUGAGGCACGAAGGCCAGGGGAGCAAACGGG